AUUGAACGCUGGCGGCAGGCCUAACACAUGCAAGUCGAACGGUAACAGGAAACAGCUUGCUGUUUCGCUGACGAGUGGCGGACGGGUGAGUAAUGUCUGGGAAACUGCCUGAUGGAGGGGGAUAACUACUGGAAACGGUAGCUAAUACCGCAUAACGUCGCAAGACCAAAGAGGGGGACCUUCGGGCCUCUUGCCAUCGGAUGUGCCCAGAUGGGAUUAGCUAGUAGGUGGGGUAACGGCUCACCUAGGCGACGAUCCCUAGCUGGUCUGAGAGGAUGACCAGCCACACUGGAACUGAGACACGGUCCAGACUCCUACGGGAGGCAGCAGUGGGGAAUAUUGCACAAUGGGCGCAAGCCUGAUGCAGCCAUGCCGCGUGUAUGAAGAAGGCCUUCGGGUUGUAAAGUACUUUCAGCGGGGAGGAAGGGAGUAAAGUUAAUACCUUUGCUCAUUGACGUUACCCGCAGAAGAAGCACCGGCUAACUCCGUGCCAGCCGCCGCGGUAA
rnacentral:rRNA from 1 species